rnacentral:rRNA from 1 species
CACCUCUAAAAAUGGUGCAGAAUAAGGGGUGGGCAAGUCUGGUGUCAGCCGCCGCGGUAAUACCAGCACCCCGAGUGGUCGGGACGAUUAUUGGGCCUAAAGCAUCCGUAGCCGGUUCUGCAAGUCCUCCGUUAAAUCCAGCCGCUCAACGGAUGGGCCGCGGAGGAUACUAUAGGACUAGGAGGCGGGAGAGGCAAGCGGUACUCAGUGGGUAGGGGUAAAAUCCUUUGAUCCAUUGAAGACCACCAGUGGCGAAGGCGGCUUGCCAGAACGCGCUCGACGGUGAGGGAUGAAAGCUGGGGGAGCAAACCGGAUUAGAUACCCGGGUAGUCCCAGCUGUAAACGAUGCAGACUCGGUGAUGGGCUAGCCUUGUGCCAGCCCAGUGCCGCAGGGAAGCCGUUAAGUCUGCCGCCUGGGGAGUACGGUCGCAAGACCGAAACUUAAAG